rnacentral:rRNA from 1 species
AACGAACGCUGGCGGCAUGCCUAACACAUGCAAGUCGAACGAGACCUUCGGGUCUAGUGGCGCACGGGUGCGUAACGCGUGGGAACCUGCCCUUAGGUUCGGAAUAACUCCCCGAAAGGGGUGCUAAUACCGGAUAAUGUCUUCGGACCAAAGAUUUAUCGCCUUUGGAUGGGCCCGCGUUGGAUUAGCUAGUUGGUAGGGUAAAAGCCUACCAAGGCGACGAUCCAUAGCUGGUCUGAGAGGAUGCUCAGCCACACUGGGACUGAGACACGGCCCAGACUCCUACGGGAGGCAGCAGUGGGGAAUAUUGGACAAUGGGCGAAAGCCUGAUCCAGCAAUGCCGCGUGAGUGAUGAAGGCCUUAGGGUUGUAAAGCUCUUUUAACCGGGAGGAUAAUGACAGUACCGGGAGAAUAAGCUCCGGCUAACUCCGCG